AAAAGUCGUAACAAGGUCUCCGUUGGUGAACCAGCGGAGGGAUCAUUACAGAGUUGCAAAACUCCUAACCCUUUGUGAACAUACCUAAGUUGCUUCGGCAGGCAGGCCCAGGGCGGGUCUGUAGCCUGUUUUUCAGGUGCCUGCCGGAGGUUUUAAACUCUAUAUUUUAGUGAUAUCUGAGUAAUUAUAUAAAUAAGUCAAAACUUUCAGCAACGGAUCUCUUGGUUCUGG
rnacentral:misc_RNA from 1 species